AAAAAACUAGGUGUUAUUUAUUAACAUAUUAUAAAAUAAUGUUUGCAGUAUGUGCUUGUCUUAUUUAAAAUUGGAAUGUGAGACAUGUUGCUGUGACUUUUUUUCUCAUUCACAUCUGUAGAUAUUGUGUGAACUACAAAUCUUAUCUAACUUAAAUUUGGGAUGCUCCCUGUCUCUUUUCCGGAUACAUUAUAAUUCUGGACCCCUAUUUAUCUCAAAGCUCUUAACAUAUACAGACCAACAGGUUUUCGCAUUCCUUUUAAAUAUCUGGUUGUGACAGAGCUUGUUGUUGAUCGGAUUCACUGUUUCAUUCAUAUUUACUGUAAUAUAUUUUUGUUUUGUAAAUAUGUUACACUCAACAAAAUGUGAUUGGUCUAAAAUA
rnacentral:lncRNA from 1 species